rnacentral:rRNA from 1 species
UACGGAGGGGGGCUAGUGUUGUUCGGAAUUACUGGGCGUAAAGGGCGCGCAGGCGGCUUGGCAAGUCGAGUGUGAAAUCCCCUUGGCUUAACUAAGGAAUGGCGCUCGAAACUACCUCGCUAGAGGACGGGAGAGGGAAGUGGAACUCUCGGUGUAGGGGUGAAAUCUGUAGAUAUCGAGAGGAACACCGGUGGCGAAGGCGGCUUCCUGCCCGUAGCUGACGCUGAGGCGCGAAAGCGUGGGGAGCAAACAGG